rnacentral:lncRNA from 1 species
GACUCAUAAAGUUAUUCUUUAAAAAACUAUUGUUAAAUUUUUUUAAUCUUUCAGUAAAAUUUCUGACCCAUAAUUUAUUUAUUGGAUAAUUUUCAUCAGAAUCAUGCUAUGAUAAUAGCACUUGAUAUCAAAAUGUCAUUUAUAUGACAAAUAAACAUACAAAAAUAACUCAAUGUAACCAUUUUUCAAAUAGAUAUUAAAACAUUCUAGGAGUUCCCAUCAUGGCUCAGUGGUAACAAACCUGACUAGGACCCAUGAGGACUUGGAUUUGUUUCCUGGCCUUGCACAGUGGCUUUAGGAUCUGGUGUUGCUGUGAGCUGUGGUAUAGGUCGUAGACACGGCUCAGAUCCCACGAGUUGCUGGUGGCUGUGGUGUAGGCCGGCAGCUGCGGCUCUGAUUCGAUCCCUAGCCUGGGAACUUCCAUAUGCUGAAGGUAUGGCCCUAAAAAGAAAAAAAAAAAAUCUAGAAAUGGAUGGUCUUAUUUUUCAAAAUUGUACUACUCUAAAUUGGCAAAUAUGAGGUGAGUUGAGAUGAUUGGGAUUAUUAUAAGAGGCUUUUUUUUUUUUUUGUCUUUUUGCCUUUUCCAGGGCUGAUCCUGUGGCAUAUGGAGGUUCCCAGGCUAGGGGUCUAAUCGGAGCUGUAGCCACCAGCCUACACCAGAGCCACAGCAACGCGGGAUCCAAGCAGCGUCUGUGACCUACACCACAGCUCACGGCAACACCGGAUCCUUAACCCACUGAGCAAGGCCAGGGAUUGAACCUGCAACCUCAUGGUUCCUAGUCAGAUUCGUUAACCACUGCGCCACAACAGGAACUCCAGAAGAGGCUUUUUUGUAGAAAAAUUUAGUAAUACAUUUCAAGUGCCAUUUAAAAAUGUUCAUGCCAGGAGUUCCCGUUGUGGCACAGUGGAAACAAAUCCAACUAGGAACCAUGAGGUUGCAGGUUCGAUCCCUGGCCUUGCUCAGUGGGUUAAGGAUCCGGUGUUGCCAUGAACUGUGGUGUGGGUUGCAGACGUGGCUCAGACCUGGCAUUGCUGUGGCUGUGGCAUAGGCGGGCAGCUGUAGCUCCGAUUGGACCCUUAGCCUGGGAACCUUCAUAUGCCGCAUGUACUGCCCUAAAAAGCAGAAAAUAAAAAUAAAAAUAAAAAUGUUCGUGCCCCCAAAAUGCACUCCUAAAAAACCGACAGCAGAGAUGAUUUUUAUGUUUGUUUUUCAAAGUGUUAUUUAAAAGAGAGGAAAAGAGGAAAAAUAACGUAUUUCCAAUUCCAUUCAAAAGUAGAAAUAAAUAAAUUAUGGUAGGUUCUCACUAUAUUAAUAAUAAGUACCCAUCAGGAGUUCCCGUCGUGGCGCAGUGGUUAACGAAUCCGACUAGGAACCAUGAGGUUGCGGGUUCGGUCCCUGCCCUUGCUCAGUGGGUUAACGAUCCGGCGUUGCCGUGAGCUGUGGUGUAGGUUACAGACGCGGCUUGGAUCCCGCAUUGCUGUGGCUCUGGCGUACGCCGGUGGCUACAGCUUCGAUUCAACCCCUAGCCUGGGAACCUCCAUAUGCUGCGGGAGCGGCCCAAGAAAUAGCAACAACAACAACAAAAAGAC